CGAACGCUGGCGGCGUGCCUAACACAUGCAAGUCGUGCGAGAAAGUUCCUUCGGGAGCGAGUAAAGCGGCGCACGGGUGAGUAACACGUAGGUAACCCUGCCCCCCAGUCUGGAACAACUAGAGGAAACUCUAGCUAAUGCCGGAUGAGACCACGAGUCCCUUCGGGGGGUUGCGGCCUAAAGAUGGCCUCUACUUGUAAGCUAUCGCUGAGGGAUGGGCCUGCGGGCCAUUAGCUUGUUGGUGAGGUAACGGCUCACCAAGGCUGUGAUGGCUAGCUGGUCUGAGAGGAUGACCAGCCACACUGGGACUGAGACACGGCCCAGACUCCUACGGGAGGCAGCAGUGGGGAAUAUUGCGCAAUGGGCGAAAGCCUGACGCAGCGACGCCGCGUGGGUGAUGAAGGCCUUCGGGUCGUAAAGCCCUGUCGCAGGGGAAGAAUAAGCAUCGGUAUAAUACGCCGGUGCCCUGACGGUACCCUGCAAGAAAGCACCGGCUAACUCCGUG
rnacentral:rRNA from 1 species